AACAGGAUUAGAUACCCUGGUAGUCCACGCCGUAAACGAUGUCGACUUGGAGGCUGUUCCCUUGAGGAGUGGCUUCCGGAGCUAACGCGUUAAGUCGACCGCCUGGGGAGUACGGCCGCAAGGUUAAAACUCAAAUGAAUUGACGGGGGCCCGCACAAGCGGUGGAGCAUGUGGUUUAAUUCGAUGCAACGCGAAGAACCUUACCUACUCUUGACAUCCAGAGAAUUUAGCAGAGAUGCUUUAGUGCCUUCGGGAACUCUGAGACAGGUGCUGCAUGGCUGUCGUCAGCUCGUGUUGUGAAAUGUUGGGUUAAGUCCCGCAACGAGCGCAACCCUUAUCCUUUGUUGCCAGCACGUAAUGGUGGGAACUCAAAGGAGACUGCCGGUGAUAAACCGGAGGAAGGUGGGGAUGACGUCAAGUCAUCAUGGCCCUUACGAGUAGGGCUACACACGUGCUACAAUGGCGCAUACAAAGAGAAGCGACCUCGCGAGAGCAAGCGGACCUCAUAAAGUGCGUCGUAGUCCGGAUUGGAGUCUGCAACUCGACUCCAUGAAGUCGGAAUCGCUAGUAAUCGUAAAUCAGAAUGUUACGGUGAAUACGUUCCCGGGCCUUGUACACACCGCCCGUCACACCAUGGGAGUGGGUUGCAAAAGAAGUAGAUAGCUUAACCUUCGGGAGGGCGUUUACCACUUUGUGAUUCAUGACUGGGGUGAAGUCGUAACAAGGUAACCGUAGGGGAACCUGCGGCUGGAUCACCUCCUU
rnacentral:rRNA from 1 species